rnacentral:rRNA from 1 species
GACGAACGCUGGCGGCGUGCUUAACACAUGCAAGUCGAACGGAAAGGCCCUGCUUUUGUGGGGUGCUCGAGUGGCGAACGGGUGAGUAACACGUGAGUAACCUGCCCUUGACUUUGGGAUAACUUCAGGAAACUGGGGCUAAUACCGGAUAGGAGCUCCUGCUGCAUGGUGGGGGUUGGAAAGUUUCGGCGGGUGGGGAUGGACUCGCGGCUUAUCAGCUUGUUGGUGGGGUAGUGGUUUACCAAGGCUUUGACGGGUAGCCGGCCUGAGAGGGUGACCGGCCACCUUGGGCCUGAGAUACGGCCCAGUCUCCUACGGGAGGCAGCAGUGGGGAAUAUUGCACAAUGGGCGGAAGCCUGAUGAAGCAGCGCCGCGUGCGGGAUGACGGCCUUCGGGUUGUAAACCGCUUUCGCCUGUGACGAAGCGUGAGUGACGGUAAUGGGUAAAGAAGCACCGGCUAACUACGUG